rnacentral:rRNA from 1 species
UACGUAGGUCCCGAGCGUUAUCCGGAUUUAUUGGGCGUAAAGCGAGCGCAGGCGGUUUGAUAAGUCUGAUGUGAAAGGCUGUGGCUUAACCAUUGUGUGCUUUGGAAACUGUUUGACUUGAGUGCAGUAGAGGAGAGUGGAAUUCCAUGUGUAGCGGUGAAAUGCGUAGAUAUAUGGAGGAACACCGGUGGCGAAAGCGGCUCUCUGGACUGUAACUGACGCUGAGGCUCGAAAGCGUGGGUAGCAAACAGG